UGAAAUGUUUUUGUUUUUCAUGAAGGUAAAAAGGUCGGUAAAGAUAAAGCAAAAUCAGAGAUUCAACAACCAAGCAAAGAGGAACUGAGAAAGAAAAUAUGCGAAAUUUUGAAAGAAGUUGACUUCAACACAGCAACUUUUACUGACAUUCUGAAGCGGCUAGCUGGUCAUUACAAAACUGAUCUGACUCCGCGAAAGGCAUCGAUAAAGCUCAUGAUCCAGGAGGAGCUGACCAAAUCAUGAUC